rnacentral:rRNA from 1 species
UUCCGGGUCUUGUACACACCGCCCGUCACACCAUGAGAGUUUGUAACACCCAAAGCCGGUGGGGUAACCUUCGGGAGCCAGCCGUCUAAGGUGGGACAGAUGAUUAGGGUGAAGUCGUAACAAGGUAGCCGUAGGAGAACCUGCGGCUGGAUCACCUCCUUUC